UACCAGCACCCCGAGUGGUCGGGACGUUUAUUGGGCCUAAAGCAUCCGUAGCCGGUUCUACAAGUCUUCCGUUAAAUCCAACUGCUUAACAGGUGGGCUGCGGAAGAUACUAUAGAGCUAGGAGGCGGGAGAGGCAAGCGGUACUCGAUGGGUAGGGGUAAAAUCCGUUGAUCCAUUGAAGACCACCAGUGGCGAAGGCGGCUCACUGGCCCGUUACCGACGCUCAGGCGCGACAGCGUGGG
rnacentral:rRNA from 1 species